rnacentral:rRNA from 1 species
GACGAACGCUGGCGGCGUGCUUAACACAUGCAAGUCGAACGGAAAGGCCCUGCUUGCAGGGUACUCGAGUGGCGAACGGGUGAGUAACACGUGGGUGAUCUGCCCUGCACUUCGGGAUAAGCCUGGGAAACUGGGUCUAAUACCGGAUAGGAGCCAUUUUUAGUGUGAUGGUUGGAAAGUUUUUUCGGUGUAGGAUGAGCUCGCGGCCUAUCAGCUUGUUGGUGGGGUAAUGGCCUACCAAGGCGGCGACGGGUAGCCGGCCUGAGAGGGUGGACGGCCACAUUGGGACUGGGGUACGGCCCAGACCCCCAGGGGGGGCAGCAGGGGGGAAUUUUGCAAAAUGGGCCCAAGUCUGGUGAAGCGGCCCCGGGGGGGGGAUGACGGCCUUCGGUUGUAAAACCCCUUUCGCUGGGGACGAACUUUUUUGGGACGUUACCGAGAAAAAAAGCCCCGGAAACCUAGGG